rnacentral:rRNA from 1 species
UUUUAUCAGAGAGUUUGAUCCUGGCUCAGGAUGAACGCUGGCGGCGUGCUUAACACAUGCAAGUCGAACGGGAAACCUUUUAUUGAAGCUUCGGCAGAUUUAGCUGGUUUCUAGUGGCGGACGGGUGAGUAACGCGUGGGUAACCUGCCUUAUACAGGGGGAUAACAACCAGAAAUGGUUGCU